rnacentral:ncRNA from 1 species
GAGAGCACAGUACGAUGAAAGUUGUAAGCUGUGUUCGGGGGGGGGGGAGUUAUUGUCUAUGUUGGCCUCUAUGGUAGAACCCGUCCGGGAGGCCUGAGAGGCGGUGGUUUACCCUGU